ACCCGCUUAUUUCAAAACCCUGCAGAU
rnacentral:sRNA from 1 species